rnacentral:tRNA from 1 species
UGGGGUACAGCUCAGUGGUAGAGCACUUGCCUAGCAUGUUUGAGGCCCUGGGUUUAAUCCCCAGUACCACAA